rnacentral:rRNA from 1 species
CCUACGGGAGGCAGCAGUGGGGAAUAUUGCACAAUGGGCGCAAGCCUGAUGCAGCGACGCCGCGUGAGGGAUGGAGGCCUUCGGGUUGUGAACCUCUUUCGCCAGUGAAGAAGGUCCUGCUCUUUGUGGUGGGGUUGACGGUAGCUGGGUUAAUGAAGCGCCGGCUAACUACGUGCCAGCAGCCGCGGUAAUACGUAGGGCGCGAGCGUUGUCCGGAAUUAUUGGGCGUAAAGGGCUUGUAGGCGGCUGGUCGCGUCUGCCGUGAAAUCCUCUGGCUCAGCUGGGGGCGUGCGGUGGGUACGGGCUGGCUUGAGUGCGGUAGGGGAGACUGGAACUCCUGGUGUAGCGGUGGAAUGCGCAGAUAUCAGGAGGAACACCGGUGGCGAAGGCGGGUCUCUGGGCCGUUACUGACGCUGAGGAGCGAAAGCGUGGGGAGCGAACAGGAUUAGAUACCCCGGUAGUC